GCAGGGAUAGCUUAGUUGCGAGAGCGUUAAAUUGAAGAUUUGAAGGUCGUGUGUUUGAUCCAUGCUUAUCGUA
rfam:Musa acuminata subsp. malaccensis Doubled-haploid Pahang (DH-Pahang) genomic chromosome, chr5